UAUAGGAAGCUUGAAAAGCCUUUGAUGAGUAAUAUCAUCUUAUCAGUAGUUUUCUCUUCAGUCUAAGAUUGUACUGAACUAUGUAAUGUUGUGUAUGAACCAUGGUGUUUAUAUAGCAGUUUGCUUGUUACCAUGCUGUUCGGAUGUUCAUUUCCGCAUUCCAUGUGUUCGGUGCAUUCUUAAUCCAUAGUUAGUAUUGAUGUUGAUUUAGUCUAAGCUGUGAGUUUGUUUGCCAGGAUGGUGUUUACCAGGCAGAACCGUGCCCCUAGCCAUGAGCAGGGAGAAGGUAGUCAGGCAGAACACGAGGAACUGCCUCACCCGCCUUCUCUGGUGGAGGUUAUGCUCGAGGCGGAAAGAAACAAGCAAGAGACCAACCGUCUGCUAGAACGUAUUGAGCAAAACACGGCUCGUCAGCCGCGAAAUGACGCAGUGUCCCUCAAU
rnacentral:lncRNA from 1 species